rnacentral:rRNA from 1 species
AUGAAUUGGCUAAGCUGGAACUGUCAUGGAGCGGGGAACCACUCAACAGUUUGUGAACUCGCGUCUCUUGUUAGGACGCACUCCCCAAGUCUUGUGUUCUUGUGUGAAACUAGACAAAAUAAAGAUAAGAUGUAUCGUUUGCGUAAUAGAUUAGGGCUUUCUGGUUUUGAAGCAGUCAGUAGUAAUGCUCGUAGUGGUGGCCUAGCACUGUUUUGGCAUGAGUCUAUGUACGUCGAGCAUGCAAGAAGCAAAUGA